rnacentral:rRNA from 1 species
ACGCUGGCGGCGUGCCUAAUACAUGCAAGUAGAACGCUGAAGAGAGGAGCUUGCUCUUCUUGGAUGAGUUGCGAACGGGUGAGUAACGCGUAGGUAACCUGCCUUGUAGCGGGGGAUAACUAUUGGAAACGAUAGCUAAUACCGCAUAACAAUGGAUGACACAUGUCAUUUAUUUGAAAGGGGCAAUUGCUCCACUACAAGAUGGACCUGCGUUGUAUUAGCUAGUAGGUGAGGUAACGGCUCACCUGGGCGACGAUACAUAGCCGACCUGAGAGGGUGAUCGGCCACACUGGGACUGAGACACGGCCCAGACUCCUACGGGAGGCAGCAGUAGGGAAUCUUCGGCAAUGGGGGCAACCCUGACCGAGCAACGCCGCGUGAGUGAAGAAGGUUUUCGGAUCGUAAAGCUCUGUUGUAAGUCAAGAACGAGUGUGAGAGUGGAAAGUUCACACUGUGACGGUAGCUUACCAGAAAGGGACGGCUAACUACGUGCCAACAGCCGCGGUAAUACGUAGGUCCCGAGCGUUGUCCGGAUUUAUUGGGCGUAAAGCGAGCGCAGGCGGUUUGAUAAGUCUGAAGUUAAAGGCUGUGGCUCAACCAUAGUUCGCUUUGGAAACUGUCAAACUUGAGUGCAGAAGGGGAGAGUGGAAUUCCAUGUGUAGCGGUGAAAUGCGUAGAUAUAUGGAGGAACACCGGUGGCGAAAGCGGCUCUCUGGUCUGUAACUGACGCUGAGGCUCGAAAGCGUGGGGAGCGAACAGGAUUAGAUACCCUGGUAGUCCACGCCGUAAACGAUGAGUGCUAGGUGUUGGAUCCUUUCCGGGAUUCAGUGCCGCAGCUAACGCAUUAAGCACUCCGCCUGGGGAGUACGACCGCAAGGUUGAAACUCAAAGGAAUUGACGGGGGCCCGC